rnacentral:lncRNA from 1 species
ACUGCACAACCUGGCCCAACCCUACCAACCAACACAAGUCAAUGUUUUCUCCAGUUUUCUCGCAUGCAUUUUUCAUAUUUUACUCAAAGAAUCAGAAUCUCCUACACUUACAAAUCAUCAAUCUUUGUCCUAAUUCCUUUUCAUCUUUUCUUUGUCGGAGUUUUUCACCGGCAAUACCCUUCCCUUCAAAGGUGCCUUUCUUGGUAAUCUCCCAGGUUCUUUCUUUUCUCGAUCAAUUUCUGAGUUAAGAAAGAAAGAAAGAAGGCUUAGAUGGAGAAAAUUUAUGUGCUGGAAAUAACCUUAAUUUCUGCGCAAGGACUUAAGGAACGAUCGGGUACAAAUACGAGUCACCAAACGAAAACUUACGCCCUUGCUUGGAACAAUUCCUCCUUCAAGCUCCGCACUUGUAUUGACCGUCACAGCAACGAAAACCCAACCUGGAAUGAUCAAUUCGUCUUUAAGGUUUCAUCGGAUUUCCUUUCCCAUGAAACUGUUGAAGCAGGACUGCAAUGCAACAUGGAACCAGCAGCCAGCUACUGUCAAGAUCAGCAGCAGCAAAGCAACUGAAAUGCAGCCAUCGAGCUCAGCAACAUUGCUUGGUGCGCAAAACUGAAGCUGGACCGAAUGAAUCAAUCCAAUUUGGACAUUUUGUUCUUAUGUAAUUUAGUUUAGUUCAAUCUUAACUUACUUACAAAGUUAGUAAGAUUAAGUUAGUGAUGUGAUUUUGAUGUAAAAGCUGGUAUGUCAGCUUAUUUUUAUAUUUUGUUUUAAGCCAGUAUUAGAUAUGCAUUAGUUGGGGCAGUUAAGCUAUUAGGUG